rnacentral:lncRNA from 10 species
GUCGAGUCGGGCAAACGCCCUCCCAGCCUUUAGCCAAUCGGAUGCCUAAAGACGAGACUAUACCUGGAGGAAGGAGGCGCGGCGCCGGAGGGGAGACGCGACCAAUGGGAAAUCACAGCGCGUCCUUGCGGCAGCCAAUAGGAGAGCAGUAAAGAGGGGGCUGCUGGCCACUGCUCUGGGGACCGGAAGUGGAGGCGGCUCGUCGCCUACUGGUAGCGCAAUUAGAGGCGGGCAUUGUAGGUUACAUGCCUAAAGCCACUUCCGGUGAUGGCCCCGCCCAGGAGGUACUUCUGAAACAGGUCCCCAGUGGCACCUCAGUUUAUCCAUUCCCGUUUUGGUUUCGCAGCUGUCAUCCGGUCCCAACGCCAGAAUAGGAGAAAAACCUGCAGGCUAAGAGAGAAGGGAGGGCUGGGCCUGAGGUUCAGUCUUGGUCAUCUCCGACUGGCGGCGCUAGGAUUUCCCCCUUCCUGUGUCUUGAUGGGUUCCUCCAACACUCACUUUGUAUCGAUAAACGACCCUGCAGUUCUUCACGACCUGCAUUGCGCUGGCAGUCCUGAGUGAAGAACUCUCCUCUCAUCCCAGAGAUGGGAAACCUGGAUCUGAGACUGCCAGCUAGCUGCGGCCUCCUAGUCUGUAAAGCGAAGGGAGACCAGGACGCUCCCAAGGACCCGGCUUAUCGCCCCUCCCUUUCCUUCCCGGGGACCCAGAACAGACCACAAGACGGAGGGUGGCCGCUGGAGGUCGCCGUGGCCCCGCGAUACCACCAACCGACAGAAAUGGAGAACAGUUGAUUCAGAUUCAGCUGAUAUUCUCAGGUCUGGAGCGGGCCUGAGCGCUUUAAUUAGCCCGGGGCUAAUGUCCUCACCCAUCUUUGUUUAUAGAACGUUGAAACUCCAGUACUGUUGCACCAAGAAGUUUCCGGUCCCGGUACAGAUCAGUGAGGAAGAGGCUAUUGACAAGUGUGGAUUUGCCCAGGCCAGACUCUCCUGAGAGGAGAGAGGACAGAGGCACCAAAUCAGAAGGGACCCUUCUCUGGGCUGUCUGAUAGUCUGCAGAGACACAGCUGCUUCCGUGCUCUAGGAGAGAGGGACUCCUUGGAGAUCUGAUCUCACUAGUAGUCGUAAUUCUUUGGAUGGGCUCAGUUUGUACUGCUUCAUCCUUUGGAGAAUCCCAAAGAAGUACCUGAAAGGAAUCUGUGGAUUUGUCUUUGGAGUUAUAUCACCAAGCCUUUGGCAAGUUUUUAACAAAACUGGGAUUUCCUUGUACAUAGAGAAGGCUCCAGACCCUCCUUUACUCUCCCGAGAUUCUAGAAAUUCUCAGGACUCAUCCAGAGAAGGAAUCAGCCAGAAGAUCCUAUGAAGACAAGAUCAAACCAAACACGCUGUGUUCGCCCCAGUUUUAAUAAGAAAUCUGACUGAAAACAAAUGGUUGAAUGUGCUGCUAACAGAGAGGGCCAAACGAUGAUGUCUAUUGUGGCAGCUGAACAAAGUGAGACUUACAGAACUGGAACUGCUGCCCUGACAGCAACUGAAGCAGAAAGAGAAGAAAGGAGCUUACAACCAGGACACUCAAACUCAGGCCAGGAGUCCGUCUAUGAUCCAAUUCCAAUCAGUCUGACAAGUCACUCUGAUCCAGCACGAUUAUCCUAUGCACAUGUUUUUUAAAGAACAAAAAAGGAAGUUUCGAGUUGGUAUGUGUGUUUUUUAAAGACACAAACCACAUCCUCUUUCUAUUCAAUUAAAUUCAAGGGAAAGGAAUUUUGGUCUUUAUAAUCAAGGGCGAUUAUAACCAACAGUGUGUCAUGGAAAUGCAAAAUGACUACAGAGCAAUUGACAGCAGCAUCUUCUGUAUUCUCUCCAUAUUAAACCUGUUCUUUUUUUUUUUUUGAGACGGAGUCUUGCUCUUAUCCCCCAGGUGGAGUGCAAUGGCGCGACCUCGGCUCACUGCAACCUCUGCCUUCCGGGUUUAAGCGAUUGUCCUGCCUCAGCCUCCUGAGUAGCUGGGAUUACAGGUGCCUGCCACCAUGCCCGGCUAAUUUUUGUAUUUUUAGUAGAGACGGGGUUUCACCAUGUUGGCCAGGCUGGUCUCGAACUCCUGACCUCAGGUGAUCUGCCCGCCUCGGCCUCCCAAAGUGCUGGGAUUACAAGUAUGAGCCACCGUGCCUGGCCUAAAACUGUUCUUAUGCUGACUCUAUCACUUAUUGAAUCAAAGUUGGCAUUAAUUUCACUUUAUAGUUUAAUUAACUAUAAACACUAACAUUUUAAAAAUUAAGCAACUUUGUCUAAAUUGGAGUCUUUGUCAUUAAUGUGUAUUUAGACACUGGUAAAUGUUUUUAAGUCUGCUUCUGUUGUCUAUAAACAUGACUUUUGAUCUACAAACAUCUGAUAUUUCAUUACCUGGAUGAUUCGGACCAACCUAGUCGCUUCCAAAAACAGGAUUUUAGUUCAUCUUGAUGAAAUAUAAGAGGAAGGAAAAAACAACAUGAUUAAUUUCUAGGUCAAAGGGUGCCAGUAUUCAUAUUAGUGCUCCCUCUAAUUUAGAGUAGACUGUUUUACCUACAAUGGUUGUUAUAUUCUGCCAGAUAGACUCUUUCUAAAAACACAAUUAAUGGGCUUCCCCUCCUAACAUUCUAUAGUUUUCUGCCACAGCAAUGGGCGCUAAUGACACUAAUUCACAAAGUCCCUGUAUUAUCUUCUCAGUGAAAUCAAUACUAUUAAUAGCUAAAUGCCUACACGUUCUGGGCCCUGUGCAGUCAGGGUUCUGGAGGAAACAGAAUGUACCCACGGCUGGUUCAAAUAAAGAUCCUUAGUGAAGUGACUACAUACAGAGGUUUAUUUAGAGUUAAGGGAACAAACAAGGAAUGUCAAGGCAUCCAGUGAUUAGCAGCAGUGGGAAGCCUAAGUCUGAAGGAACUGAGUGUUGGAGAUGAGAGGUCAGUUACUAGACCUUAAUGAGAGCUGGAAUUGGGAAGAAUGGACUGCCUACAGAAGCCGCACUUGUGGAGAGACACCACUUCUACCAGGCACAAGGUGCUGAAGUAAGCAGUGAGGCAAAGUAAUACCCCAAAUUCUCUCUAGCCCCACUAAUCUUCUGCUGGGGCCUGUCAUUGGCAAACAGGAAGCCCAGGAGAUGCAGUCCACUAGGGUCAGCAUUCUGGGGCACAAAGCAGGGCAGAGAUGGGGAGAAUGAGAAGGAAAUCAGGAAGAGGUGAAAGGAAUACCAGAUGAUCUGAAAGAGUUAAAGUCUCUUACUUUCCUGAGUAGGAAGAACUUAAAUAUGGGAGAGCGUCAUUGUAAAGGGCAUAUCAGAAGCCUUCAAAAUCUAUCAAAAUAGUUUUAAAAUUAAGGUUAAUUUAUAAUUUUCACAUUACUUGUAGACUCCACUUAAAUUCCAUAAAAUAUGAUUUAUUACUGGAUUUUGAAGCAUCUAUGUGAGCUAAAUUUAAAACUCUUUGGAAGACGUUGGACAAUUAGAAG